rnacentral:lncRNA from 1 species
CCUGGAGUCAGGUGCUGAUGUACCUGUAUAGCUGUCUCAGGUGAGACGCCAGUGGCGAAGCAGAGAUGGAUGAAGCUCUAGUGCAAAUGUCAGACAUCCCCAAACUGAGUCCCGUCUUGCAGCAGAAUGUGCUCACAGCUUACAGCCAUGAGAAGGAAGAAGUGCCCCAGAGACCAUCUCCCGGCUACGGCUUAAAAGCAGGGGAUGGAGCAUCAGGAACUCAAAGCCAAACUGUCCUCCUCCUGCAGCCAGGGCCAGAAGCAAUUUCAGUCACACAAGUAUGAAGACAGAGAUGUGAAAUGAGCCAGAGAGGAGGAUCAGCUCGUGAUGACAGAUGAGCAAGCUCAUUCUGAACACUUCCCAGGACGUGGUUAAAUCUGAAUUUCUUAAUUUCCAUGGAAAAGCAUCCAUUGACUUUACGCCAGUGCUCCAAGGGGAAGUGCUGCACUGCCCAUCUCACACUUCAGAGAGGGCCUUAUCUGCUUCCUGGGGAGCUGUGACCGGGAAGGAAGCUGCAUGGAUUAGGCUGUAAAUACCUUUUAGGAGUUCUGCUGGUUGUUCACCUACACCCAGCCUGGCCAUGCACUUCUGAGUACAUCCCUAGAUGGACUGCCUUCGAGAGAGCUGAUGCAGUUACUCAGCAGAUCACUUCACAUGAUAUUAGCUCUGUGUUUGUCUGUACUCUUAAAACAUGCGUCAUUGUACACCGUAAUUAUAAGGAGAGCUAACUGGCAAGAAGGAUGAUUGCGUCAUUAAGGGACUGAAAUAAGAAUAACUAAUUCUGCUGUUAACUCCUGAUGUAACCUGGCCAUGACACCGAAGAUCAGUUUUCUCAUCUAAAAGGAAGCAAUUCUCCUAGCUUACCCAUUGUAUUUUCCUGCAUUGAAUAACAUCUCUGAGUCUACGUAACAGUUUGAAGGUACGUGGAGAAGUCGUGUCUACAGCAUGAGAGAUGAGGAUCUAAUCCGGACUGGGAUUUGAACUAAAACUAUAGGUGUCCCACAAUAAGAAUGUUAAUGGCAAUAAUAUUUAUAGUAAAAACAUUUGCAAGAAGUUAGGAAAAUGGAUCAUAAGGAAUAGCUACAAGCAAAGUCUGCAGUAUACAAUAGAACCUGGUUAAUUCUUUCUAUGUCAAUUUGCAAGCCUGACAUCUCUCACCAAAUAUUCUGGCAAGCUCACAGCAUUUUCAAGAAAAGAUUUAACAGCCAAGUUACAGUUGCUUUUAGUUUAGUCUCAUGUUGCUUUUAGUUUAUUAUUAUUGCAAAAUGCACUACCAAACACUUACUAGUCCAUCAUGAAAUAAAAUGCUGUAGAAUUACA